AACCACGCAUUCAUGCUGCGCAUGCGUCUUUAAGCUACGCCGCUUUAUAUCACGUGACACAGAUGUUUAAAACCGAAAGUAGAGGUAUUUUUAAGGAAGUUUAAACAAGUCAACUUUCAAAUGGUGAUUAAAAAUGGGCGCAUCAUUUAGCUCGGAGGACCCAAGUGAACAAGAUCGAAACUUGCGAUUUUACAGAAAUGAAAUCAGAUCUAGUCCGUGGCCCGGUUCCAAGAUUGCCGAUAUGUUACUUUGGACGGGUAAAUACAACAAAUUAGAGAGUAACCAUAGCUAUAUUCAAUGGUAAGUUCUUUUAUAGCCAAUUUUGACUGAUAUUUGCCACAUGAACAAAUUUCC